CUACAGUCGAGCCCGUGAGGAGGCAAGAGCAGAGAUUGCACGUGCACGAGACCGACUCCGUGAGAGGACCGAACAGGAGAAGAGACGACUACAGCAGCAAGCUCUCUCACAGGCAGUGAAGGAUGACCUGCGGUUUCGCACACGCAUUAGUAACAGUACUUUAUGUAGUGGUUCGAACCUGAGUCUUUCCUCAAGCCCCACUUCAGGGUACAACAGCAGCAAUACUGCCUUACUGAAAGACAUUACCUCACCAUUAAUACAGGUAAACGGAGUCUCAGAAUUCAAAGUAAGGACUCGACCUCCAGUGAUCCCGUUGCAGACUUCAAAAGCUCAGCGUAGAUGGCUUUCAG